rnacentral:rRNA from 1 species
CCUACGGGGGGCAGCAGUGAGGAAUAUUGGUCAAUGGGCUGACGCCUGAACCAGCCAAGUCGCGUGAGGGAAGACUGCCCUAUGGGUUGUAAACCUCUUUUGUCAGGGAGCAACGCCGGCUACGUGUAGCCGGACUGAGAGUACCUGAAGAAAAAGCAUCGGCUAACUCCGUGCCAGCAGCCGCGGUAAUACGGAGGAUGCGAGCGUUAUCCGGAUUGAUUGGGUUUAAAGGGUGCGUAGGCGGAAUGCCAAGUCAGCGGUAAAAUCGCGGGGCUCAACCUCGCUCCGCCGUUGAAACUGGCGUUCUUGAGUGGGCGAGAAGUAUGCGGAAUGCGUGGUGUAGCGGUGAAAUGCAUAGAUAUCACGCAGAACUCCGAUUGCGAAGGCAGCAUACCGGCGCCCAACUGACGCUGAAGCACGAAAGCGUGGGUAUCGAACAGGAUUAGAUACCCCAGUAGUC